GACGUAGGGCGCAAGCGUUGUCCGGAUUUAUUGGGCGUAAAGAGCUCGUAGGCGGCUUGUCGCGUCGACUGUGAAAACCCGCAGCUUAACUGCGGGACUGCAGUCGAUACGGGCAGGCUAGAGUUCGGUAGGGGAGACUGGAAUUCCUGGUGUAGCGGUGAAAUGCGCAGAUAUCGAGAGGAACACCGGUGGCGAAGGCGAGUCCCUGGAAAACACCUGACACUGAGGCACGAAAGCUAGGGGAGCAAACAGG
rnacentral:rRNA from 1 species